rnacentral:rRNA from 1 species
GAGUUUGAUCAUGGCUCAGAGUGAACGCUGGCGGCAGGCCUAACACAUGCAAGUCGAACGGCAGCACAGUAAGAGCUUGCUCUUAUGGGUGGCGAGUGGCGGACGGGUGAGGAAUACAUCGGAAUCUACUCUGUCGUGGGGGAUAACGUAGGGAAACUUACGCUAAUACCGCAUACGACCUACGGGUGAAAGCGGGGGACCUUCGGGCCUCGCGCGAUUGGAUGAGCCGAUGCCGGAUUAGCUAGUUGGCGGGGUAAAAGCCCACCAAGGCGACGAUCCGUAGCUGGUCUGAGAGGAUGAUCAGCCACACUGGGACUGAGACACGGCCCAGACUCCUACGGGAGACAGCAGUGGGGAAUCUUGGACAAUGGGCGAAAGCCUGAUCCAGCCAUGCCGCGUGAGUGAUGAAGGCCUUCGGGUUGUAAAACUCUUUUGGCGGGGACGAUAAUGACGGUACCCGCAGAAUAAGCUCCGGCUAACUUCGUGCCAGCAGCCGCGGUAAUCAAUCGCC